AUUCAAUGUUUUUUUCUUCAUAUAGCCAGAGUUUAACAGACUUGCUAAUUAUUUAGCGGACAGUUGGACAUCAAGUUCAGGGUGUAUUGCCUGUCAGGAAGAUACCAUUAAUCUUGAGGGAUUGCUGGAAGAGGAUUAUCCAUCUAUUGUAUUGGGAGUGUUUGUGGAGCAUCCAACACCAUUUCUUAGAGAAGCCUUACAGAAUAUUGCAGCAUUAGAUUAUCCUAAACAGAAAAUUUAUUUCUUAAUGCAUUCAUCAUUAAGAAAUCACCAGAAUGAGAUAGAUUUAUUCUUGAACAAGGUUGGAAUAUUGUACAAGUCUGUCAAUACUAUAGGUUCAUAUGAUAGUAUUGGUGAAGCAGCAGCCAGGAGAGGGCCAUGUAAUACAUAUAUAUAAUUAUUAUAUACUUAUAAAAGAAAUAUUGAGAGAUAUUGACGAAAUAAUAUGCAGUGGUAAAAUUUUCGUAUUUUCACCAGUAUCUUGCCAGACUACUUUCCUCUACAUUCAGCCAGUACACAAAAUGAAAGUGGAAUUCUUUUGAAUUGUAAGAUAAAAAAAGAACUAAACAAAAAAUUCAAGUUUUUAUAUAAAUACAGAUUUUUUUUUCUUUCUUGUGGUAUGAAAAUUGCCACAUUUUACUUGUGGCUACCACCACUCGUGAAAUGAUUCAUACUGUUUGAUGAAAAUAAAAAACUUGAAUAUGCUCUUCCUCUAUCUUUUAAUCUCUAUACUGUUGGUAGCUCAAUAUUAGUAUUUUUAUAUCCCUUUAAAAUAGAGUGGACUUUUCCAAAUUCAAAGUUGGGCAUAUCCAUCAAACCUAUUGAGUAAGUAAUGGGUUAACUGAAACAU